rnacentral:rRNA from 1 species
UAUUGGACAAUGGGCGAAAGCCUGAUCCAGCAGUACCGCGUGUGUGAAGAAGGCCUUAGGGUUGUAAAGCACUUUCAAUUGGGAGGAAAACCUACCGGUCAAUACCCGGUAGCUUGACAUUACCUUUAGAAGAAGCACCGGCUAACUCCGUGCCAGCAGCCGCGGUAAUACGGAGGGUGCGAGCGUUAAUCGGAAUUACUGGGCGUAAAGCGUGCGUAGGCGGUUCGUUAAGUCAGAUGUGAAAGCCCUGGGCUCAACCUGGGAACGGCAUUUGAAACUGGCGGACUAGAGUUUAGUAGAGGGGAGUGGAAUUUCAGGUGUAGCGGUGAAAUGCGUAGAUAUCUGAAGGAACACCAGUGGCGAAGGCGACUCCCUGGACUAGAACUGACGCUGAGUACGAAA